rnacentral:rRNA from 1 species
UACGAAGGGGGCUAGCGUUGUUCGGAAUUACUGGGCGUAAAGCGCGUGUAGGCGGGUCUUUAAGUCAGGGGGGAAAUGCCAAGGCUCAACCUUGGAACUGCCUUUGAUACUGGAGACCUUGAGUCCGGGAGAGGUGAGUGGAAUUGCGAGUGUAGAGGUGAAAUUCGUAGAUAUCGGAAGGAACACCAGUGGCGAAAGCGGCUUCCUGGUCCAGCACCGACGUUCAGGCACGAAAGCGUGGGGAGCAAACAGG